rnacentral:rRNA from 1 species
GACGAACGCUGGCGGCGUGCUUAACACAUGCAAGUCGAACGGAAAGGCCCUGCUUGCAGGGUACUCGAGUGGCGAACGGGUGAGUAACACGUGGGUGACCUGCCCUGCACUUCGGGAUAAGCCUGGGAAACUGGGUCUAAUACCGGAUAGGAGCCAUUUUUAGUGUGAUGGUUGGAAAGUUUUUUCGGUGUAGGAUGAGCUCGCGGCCUAUCAGCUUGUUGGUGGGGUAAUGGCCUACCAAGGCGGCGACGGGUAGCCGGCCUGAGAGGGUGGACGGCCACAUUGGGACUGAGAUACGGCCCAGACUCCUACGGGAGGCAGCAGUGGGGAAUAUUGCACAAUGGGCGCAAGCCUGAUGCAGCGACGCCGCGGGGGGGAUGACGGCCUUCGGGUUGUAAACUCCUUUCGCUAGGGACGAAGCUUUUUGUGACGGUACCUAGAUAAGAAGCACCGGCUAACUACGUG